AACCAGCUCUAGACAUAAUAGCGAAAGUGAAUCUGUGCCAGCGAGUAUGUUCAUAUUGGAGGAUGACCGGUUUGGCAGCAGCUCUACUAGUACAUUUUUCCUUGAUAUCAACGAAGAUACAGAGCCAGCAUUUUAUGACCGAUCUGGACCCAUAAAGGAUAAAAAUUCAUUCCCUUUCUUUGCUUCUAGUAAACUUGUGAAGAAUCGUAUCUUAAAUUCGCUUACUUUGCCUAACAAAAAACAUCGUAGUAGCAGUGAUCCAAAAGGAGGGAAAUUAUCAUCUGAAAGUAAGACAAGCAACAGGCGAAUCAGAACACUUACGGAGCCCAGUGUUGAUUUUAAUCAUAGUGAUGAUUUUACACCCAUAUCCACUGUACAGAAAACAUUACAAUUAGAGACUUCAUUUAUGGGGAAUAAGCACAUUGAAGACACUGGUAGUACACCAAGCAUUGGAGAAAAUGACUUAAAAUUCACCAAGAAUUUUGGUACAGAGAAUCACAGAGAAAAUACAAGCCGAGAGAGGUUAGUAGUAGAAAGUUCAACGAGCUCACAUAUGAAGAUACGUAGCCAAAGUUUUAAUACAGACACUACAACAAGUGGCAUAAGUUCAAUGAGCUCAAGUCCUUCACGAGAGACAGUAGGUGUAGAUGCUACAACUAUGGACACAGACUGUGGAAGCAUGAGUACUGUGGUUCUUCUCAUACGCUUCCUAGAAGAGCA
rnacentral:lncRNA from 1 species